rnacentral:lncRNA from 1 species
AACCCAUUGAUUUAAUCAAAUUAAGUCAAUUAAUAAUCAAAUUGCUAAUCGAUCCUUCUACAACACUUGCACUAAGUUAAAUGUCAAUCGUAUUGAUCGUUUAACCCUAGAAUGAUUCUUAAUCAUUGAUCAACCAUCCGAUCGGAUCGUGAACUCUAAUGUGUGUGACCUCAUAGAUCCAAACCUAAGUUAGUAGUAUAAAAAUAAUU